CACGUAGGGUGCGAGCGUUGUCCGGAAUUAUUGGGCGUAAAGAGCUCGUAGGCGGUGUGUCGCGUCGGCCGUGAAAACUUGGGGCUUAACUCUGAGCGUGCGGUCGAUACGGGCAUCACUUGAGUUCGGCAGGGGAGACUGGAAUUCCUGGUGUAGCGGUGAAAUGCGCAGAUAUCAGGAGGAACACCCGUGGCGAAGGCGGCUCUCUGGGACGGUACUGACGCUGAGACGCGAAAGCGUGGGGAGCGAACAGG
rnacentral:rRNA from 1 species